AGGUGCCGAAAAACAAUAGAUAGGCGUAUCCCCAGUUUGGGUAUAAAAUCUGUGGUUUGGAGAGAGAGAGACAGACAGUCCGAGAUACAGACAGAGAUAGACAGAGUAAGAUACAGAGAUAUUGCACAUUUGCAUACUAACGGACGACCCAGCAUUAGCCUAGUAAGUUAUGACGUGUCUCGCGUAAACCUAGUGUAUGCGCAUACCUUGUUAUGGAAUUAUACAUAGUAUAUAUAAAGAGAAUCACUGAAUACGUAUACCAGUGUUGUUGUGUUCUUUAUAAUAUUAUUCCAAUAGACGUUAGCACAGGGUGUUCUAUAUACACUCACGCGUAACCACUUAUACGAUCACGGUAAGCGAGCAGCUUCCCUACACCAGCUCUAUGUUCCAACAUCCUUAUUUUGUCCUUAUUGUGGUAGGCUUAGACAACAAUAUGUUACAGACGGAAUUUUUUCAUUUUCUCACUAAUCUUUACAAUUUCUGUACUUCGUUGUUUGUUUAGUCAUUACAUUUUUAAGAAAUAACACUCGAUGGGGGACAUAGGGACUGGGGAACCUAGGGACCGGGAAACAGGGAUAUGGAACAUUAUAUAAUUGAUAAUUAAUAUGCUAUAUUUUAUAUUAUUAUAUUAUAUUAUCAAUAUCUUAUAUUCAUAUAUUAUCAUUUCACAUAUUAUUACAUAUAAAUACAUUACAUCCCGCACCACUGCAUCAAGGAGCACCAUGACAGUUACCGAGUGUGUAUAUGAGAUGUGUAAAGACUAGUAACCUUGAAACAACAUUUAGUUGCAGCCAUGGCAAUUGGCAGGUUGGCCAUUUGCCUGUCAGUUACCAGGAAAAUCAUACACUAUAACUGCUUCAUGUAAAUCUACAACCCGUAAAGAACAACAUUAGUAC